ACCUAAUCGCACCUCGAAAUAAGCACUAACCCCAAAUCCCGGCGUCCAGCUCUCCCAAAUCUUGGUUCAGGAAAUCCACCAGGGCGCCCCUGCCCGAUCCUACCUACGCCACUGGCUCCCAUCCUGCCGCCGCCUCCAUUGUGAGAACCGUGGCCAGAAGAGGAGGACAAGCACGGCAACGACGCCAACGCCGUCGUCUCUCCCUGUUCAUAAUAGGUGUGCCGACACCCCUCUCCAUCUCCGGCUGCGCGGGCAUGACGCAGCUCGCACGGUGUUGAGCGGCGCCUAUGCAGCAGCCCUUAAACAGCGGCGGCUCGGCACGGGCGGCGACAGGCUGCAGGGCCGCGGCGCUGGCGCUCGUGCGGCACAUGGCGUGGCUCUAACAGGCAGGCAGCUGGGAGCGUCGACGCAUGCAUCACGGCCGCGCCAGCGGGGCAACGACGUAUGCGGAUCUCGAGAUUCACUGGGUGUGCUGCGGCAGCAACAGAGGCUCGCCGCUAGGGGCAACGACGUGUGCAGCUGUUCGUUUUCCUCAUGGGACAAUCGAAGUUUGCCGGUCUUCGGCCGCCCCUUGCUGCUCCAUUCACAUAUAUACAGGUCGAAGUCUUUGUUCUUUCUCUUAGGCCGGAUGAUGUCCUUUGAUUUGUGAUCUGGCUGAAAAAACCCAUUCAGGUUCUGCAUCCGCCCAUCAGGUUCCUUUCUUAUUGACCCUUCAAGCGUGGAGUCUUUUAGAGGCAGCCUUCGUGUUUUUCCCUUCCACUGGAACUCCAUGCAGAGUCUGAGUUCAGGGGAGUGUAUUGGCCUUCAAAAGAAGAAUAAAUGGUUGGUCGUUCAUCUUUGUUAUGUUCCUAGGUCUUUGGAGUUUGCGGUGUGCCGGUUUUAUUGCUCAGAUGAAACAGAUACCGUGUGCUCUUACAGAGUUAAGAUGAAUCUCCUUUGAGUUGCAGGCCGGAAGGUAGUGAAAAUUAAUAAUCUUAAAAGUCUCCACUUUGGAGCAGAAAAAUGUUGAUAGCUCAACAUGCACUAUGAUCCAGGUCAGUAGUUGAACUUAUAAGUCAAAACACACACAAGGGUUCAUGUAAAUAUAUUGCAGGUUCACAUUAUUAUACUAUACACACACAGCAGUCUUGUGUUUGAAGUGGCUAUUACAUAUGUGCUGACCGCACGAAGCCGCAAUUUUUUUUAAUAAACUAUUUCUGAAAAGAUGUGUAAUGUAUUUUCGAGCAAGUUUAAGUCUCCACAAAUCGCUGUAUCUGAUGCAUCGAUAGAUCACUACCACUAUGUUUUUUUAUUUAGAAAUGUCUUUUUUUCAGUUGCUUGGUCCUUCUCUCAAGAGACAAAAAAGGGUCAUCAUGAAUUUGCAAUAGUUAGAUCUAUAGUUACAUUUUUUCCGCAGAAUAACACAUGGAAAUUCAUGGUUUAUCAGUUAUAUUCUUAGUGUGUAACUGUAAACAUGUAUGAAUUUCGUCUGCUUCCAAACAUUCUCCUUUUGAUUAUUAUUGGUUGAGGCGUAGCUUUGUUAUGUCGUCUAGAGUUCCAAUAUGCUACAUAUUGGUUGAUAUGUGCAUUGGACGUGCUCGAUUGCAUGUAUAUAUUGCUCCUCUGGCCUCUGCACCUCGAAACAGACACCUCGAUGGCCUGGCAGAUUAUUGCGGCCUUGGAUUUGUAGCCGUGGCCAAUGCGUACACAAGGGCAGUGAUCCGUUUCACCACUUGAGGCCCAGCGGAGGUAUUUCUACUUUCUUGCCCCGAAACUGCUGUACACACGAUUUAUUGAUGCACGACUUGUGCACGACUUGAUUAGAAGCCACGCAGAUUGGGAAAGAAGAAAUCUAAUGGUCUAGAUGACUUGUCGUCUGUCAAUCGUGCAUGAAUCCGUCGUCCGCAUAUCAGUGCUCUUCUUGCCCUCAAUUUUUGUUGCACACCAACUCUUUAUUAGUUACUCUCUCCGUCCCAUAAUGUAACACUUUUUUGACACUAUACUAGAGUCAAAAAACGUCUUGCAUAAUGAGGAGGGAGUAUUUUAUAUAGUUUCAUAUCUACUAAUUUUUAAAGACACUAUUUUACUUUGGUUCUUCAACAUUUUGGCCAAUUUAAGCAGAAAAUACUUGAAGCCACAUACAUGAAAUAAUGCAAACUUUAUAUGGUUGUUUUUCUUUCCAUGAUUUCUCUGUUCCCAAAUGUUUGUUUUGGAUGUUGCUUCGCAUAAGAUAACUAUAAACUAUUAUCUGUGACAGUGGCCAAGUCAGAGUCUUAAGUCUUUUUUAAUAAGCAUCGGUAUAUAUUGCUUUGCUUGGGGUAACAUGAAACUAUUCUCGGUGACAGUCAAGACCAAACUUUGCAAAGUAAAGACCCCUCCCACAAUUCCUUAGUUCUACUUCUACUACAGACCUGGAUGGUGAAGAAGAGCAUGCUCAACUAUUUUUGAGAGGUUGCAGAACAUGCAAGCAUCGGAGAUGGCAUAGCCUUGUCUGAAACGACAUUGGUUGGUGAACCUCUUACGGUCCGGCAGCCAUAUGGACAAAUCAUAACUAUUCGUUGAAUAUAUUUUCUGAUUCAGAGUUGCAAAAGGGGAGCAUUUUAUAAAA